rnacentral:rRNA from 1 species
AUUGAACGCUGGCGGCAUGCUUUACACAUGCAAGUCGAACGGUAACAGGCCGCAAGGUGCUGACGAGUGGCGAACGGGUGAGUAAUGCAUCGGAACGUGCCCAGUCGUGGGGGAUAACGCAGCGAAAGCUGCGCUAAUACCGCAUACGCUCUAUGGAUGAAAGCGGGGGACCGUAAGGCCUCGCGCGAUUGGAGCGGCCGAUGUCAGAGUAGGUAGUUGGUGGGGUAAAGGCUCACCAAGCCGACGAUCGGUAGCUGGGCUGAGAGGACGACCAGCCACACUGGGGCUGGGACACGGCCCAGACUCCUACGGGAGGCAGCAGUGGGGAAUUGUGGACAAUGGGCGCAAGCCUGAUCCAGCAAUGCCGCGUGCAGGAAGAAGGCCUUCGGGUUGUAAACUGCUUUUGUACGGAACGAAACGGUCCUGGUUAAUACCUGGGGCUAAUGACGGUACCGUAAGAAUAAGCACCGGCUAACUACGUGCCAGCAGCCGCGGUAAGAC